rnacentral:misc_RNA from 1 species
AAGUCGUAACAAGGUUUCCGUAGGUGAACCUGCGGAAGGAUCAUUAACACGUAUCCAAACGUUAAAACCCCCCGUGAACCUUCAUCGUUCUCGUACUCUUUGUCAGAAUGGAUCAUUCAGACAUUCCUGGUAAAUCAUCGCCAACGGGUUUUGAUUCAGGUGACUUCUGCGUGAGUAAAGUAGUACCAUAGAACGUCAAGUGGCCCGGCAUUCUUCCGCAUAAUUGAGUCUGAAAGUGGCAAGUCUGAAAGUGGCAUCAGUUAUGUAUCGAAUGGCGCAGUAACGAUCACUAGAGGCCAACACGGCCGGUGACCGGGUCAGCGGCUACGGCCCCCUAUCACCUUUGCAUGAAAACGGGCCUGCGCUUAAUUGUGCGGCCACCAAAACUCGAACAACUGUUAACAAUGGAUAUCUUGGUUCUC